ensembl:lncRNA
GUGGUCUCUGAAUGGACAUCUGGCAACUUGCAUUUGCUGUUGGCAGGAAGGCUGCUGCCUUUGGAAGCCAGCAGGUGUCCUUUGGAUGGAGCUGCGAUCACUGGAUGUCUCACGGUGCUUUUAUCCAAUCCCAAAUCUGCUCCUGCCCCUCCUUGAAGGGCUGUGGUGGAUGGUGCUCCAGUGCCCAGCCCCAGAAUGUCACAUACACGAUGCUGUCCUGCAGCCUGGCUGCUACCAGCAGCUCUCUUCUGUUCACACCUCAUGCUGAGUUUGUGACCCCACCUCUGUUUGGUGGAGAAAGAAACGCCAUAGGAAGGACUGUAUGCUGGCUCCACAUCUCCGUGGGCUUCCCUUUGGGCUCUGCAGGCUGAUCUGCACAGAGAUGCCUUUAACUCACCUGGACCUUCAUUUCUCUGUGCAAAUGCGCAUCACCUGCAGUGCCACCUGCGGGCACAACCCAAACCCCUCAGUCAUGGCUGUGACAGGAUCUCCUGGAUGCAUUUCGGAACACGGGAGGUACAGUCACUGCACACCCACUCCCUGCACGCUGCCUUUGUCCAUGGGGUUGCAUGGCCUGAACUGCACAGAAGGAGAGGACAAUGGGACAGAGAGCUCAGCGGUAGGGGAACGUGUGGAGAGAGAUGGGAGGUGUGCUCGGGGGUUUGGGCACACAGAGAUGUGGGACAGACAAAAGAGUGAAAAGCAGCUUUUUGGAAGGCUGUUGCCACCACCCCCAGCCCAGCCUUGUGUAAGUGAUUGUGCUCCCCACAGUGCCUUUAGAAAUCCCCAAUUUUUUCUCAUUAUUCAUGUUUUUAUCAAAGUUAAGGCUUACAGUUACCACCCCUGGGAUACUGCAUGUGUUCCUCCUUUGGCACAAAGCUCCUGCUUCAGCCACAGCCACCUUUUGGAAAGACAUCCAUCCUGCCAUUAGAACUACUGGUGAAUCACUUCAUCCCCAUGGAUGCCAUUCUGCUGUUUAAUUACUCACCCUGCUUCCCACUCUGAAGUUGCCUCAUUUCAGUUUCCAGGCUCUGGAUCUGCCUGUGUUUUCAGCUACUCACUGAAGCCCCUCUUAUCAUCACAAAGCUUUUUCUGAGCUGGCAUUUGUAGGCUGUAAUCAAGUUACCCACCUGUCUCCUCUUUCAAAGAAAACAGAUUGGGUUUCUUUAAUCUGCCCCCUGCAAACCCAGGUGAGCAGAGGCUUUUUUAUUUUCUCAUGCAUGCUAUACACCCUGGCUGUAAGAGCUGCAAGUGUCAUUUGUGUACUGAGAGAGCUGCUGAAAGAGAGGAGAGUCUGUUCUGCAAACUGCAUUUGCAGGGGGGUCACAGGGGAUGCUGGGAGCUCUUCCAGAGAGCAGCCCCAGCCGUGCUCCAUCAGUGAGGGCAUCUGUUGGUGAGCUCUGCUAAUUCAGUGUAGGUAAGGCAGUGUGGCUGCAUGUUUGUAAAAAGGAGCAAACAAGCAAAAAAAUGAAUGGGAGUUAAUAUCUGCUCGGGAGAUGUGGAUUGAUUUCCUGCUCAUCUGCCAAUCUUUAAUUAUUAUUAUGCAUCAUGGUAUUUAGUUUCCUAAACAAAAGGCAAUGAAAACCGAAUAGAGUAACAUCAGAUACCUCUAACUUGAUUUAGGUAUAACAGCUUUAUUAACUCAAAACUGAAACAUUCCAAGGGAGCUACUGCAGAUCCAAGGGCUCUGUGUUGACUUUGGGAAGCCCCCAUCAUGCUGCCCAGCCAGGGCCGGCUCCCAGUGGAAGCAGCAGUUUCCUCCUGCAGCAAAGUGCCCGGGGUUAAAGCUCCUUGGGUCUCAUUUGGGGCACUGGUUCUCUUCACUCUGAGAAGUGCCCGUACUUCAACAUCCAUUAGUGCCUUAUCUCUGCAAGCCUGCCCCGCUCCUGCUGCUCUGCUGGGCGCCGUAGGGAACGUCACACUGCAGCACUCGGUGGCCCUGUCAUUCCUUGUGCAUGUCAUGGCUUCAUCGUGUGUCUCGUUAGUUAAUUAGAUGACAGAAGAGCGAGUGGCACCAGUCAGAGCAGCGCUACAGAAUGUGUGAAAAUGUCAAAUGAGCUCAUGGAGUGAAGCCCAAGGUGCUGCCCGUUGUGAGAGCCCACGUUGGGCAGCUUGUUCCAGUCAGGAUGAGCACGGCCUGACACAUGGCCUGCACUGCCUGGUCUGUGCUGUCUGUGGACCCAGCUGUGCCCCAGUGGGACCUUAUUUUUCAAAGAACACGUUCCUCAGACAAAAAUCACUAUUCCUAUUGGAGAGGGAGGUGAAAGCCAGAGGUUAAUGGACUUGAAGGCUGGAAGAUGCUGUCCCAAUGGCUACACAGCCUCCUGCCCACACUCCCCCAUGUGUUUCAUGCACCGGGUGUGUAAGGGCAGCAAGUUUGCCCUGCAGUGACAGCCAGGCUUGGCUUCAUAAUGGUAAGAAGCACACCUGCAUUCGUAGCAAGCUUGCUCAGUUUUUAUUAUCAGCACCUUGCUUAUAGCCUGAGUUUAUCUCGCUGCACUUCCUAAUCCCUCCAUCUUUUCAUUCCUUUGGUUAUCAGCUUAGGCAACCUUCUGCAGCCAGAAAUGGUUCUCCUGAACAACGCACACGCGAUCCGAGAGAAGACACAGCCACGCCAUCCUGGCACUGGGUGGGCUCUGCUGAGGGGCUGCUGCAUCCUCACAGGGGUCACGUCCUCAUAUAGAGCCUCCCUGGGAAUGGGCUUUGGUCCCUUGCAUGUUUCUCCUCGGGAGCUUUGGGCACCAGCUCUGUCCUCCUGCAGCCUGGGGCAGGGUGUACACCCACAGGGGAUGCAGGGCAAUGUAUGAAGGCAGGAAAAAGCUCCCAGUGCAACACGCCUUCUGCAAUUUGCUUUUCUGCUCAUGCUACAAUAUUGAUUUCAAAACCCCUCUCCUGCUUAUUUAGUUCUGAAGUGGAGCAGCGCGCCGAUGGGCUGGGAGCAGCUCCCGAGUCGAGGGAGUGUAUCGUACAUGGCUAAUUGUAUGGUCUGCACUGCCUUUUAUCUUAGCUUGCAAUUCAUUUAGCAGCAGAUCUCUCUGUUCGUCAGUUUUGAUUCCUGGGGUACCAGAUAAUUUCAUUUGCAGAUGGAUUUUAUGCUUUCUGAUACUUCAGUAACCCCAUUUGGUAUAAGCACAGCUCUUCAUUUCCCUGCGAGGACGCGGACAACGAGCAGGAGCUGAGCACAAAAACAGCCAUUUAUUUAACCAGCGAGUACAAUUUCCCGUGCCCCGUUUCUCACCAACCUCACCAGCCUCUGUGCAGGUGCCACAUGCAGGUGAGGCAGACAUGGCUCGUUUCCAGUUCUGUUUGCAGGUAGCAUUUUCUCUGCACUGUGCUGCAGGACAGCGUGGAGUGGACACCCACUGCCUAUAUCUCAGGGAUGAGCUGCUCUGCAGAGGGACUCACGUGUUGCUGACUGCAGUGCUACGGGCUUCGGUGUAUGGGAUGCAUUGGACCUCCUGUUGCUGCAGUGACCCGUGGGAUCAGAGAGCGAGAAAAGCUUCAUCCCAAAUAGCUCCCGAUUACCAUUUACACUCCUUACUUCUUGUCCUCUCAGAUCGAUACUGCUCUUAAGUACUGCAAAUUGGAGGAGAGCCAUCAAAAUGCUCUAUUUUCACAACAGACGUACGAUGAGAUCACCGGCUCCGAGCCACCAACCCCUUUAUGUCAACGAUUUCUCCAAAGGAACUUUCCGUGUCAUUUCCGAUACCACUUUCAAAGACAAAUAGCAGGAAGUGCUCUUUGAAUCCCAACGUGACUUCUCACGCUGGAACACGUUGGUUAAUUUGGACGGCAGCAGUAAAAUGUGUUGAAAACGAUGGAAAUACCAUAAACCAGCACAGAAAGUGAGCCCAUUUCAAUCCUCCAGAAGAGACCAGCAUGUUUUGUUUGUUAUAUUCUUCAUAUAUCCACAAGUUAAUGAAGAGUGGGUUUUUUUUCCUUUCAUUUUUUUCUCUUCAUCAGUCAACAUGGGUUGGUUUUCCUCUCUCUAUUUUUUUUUCUUUAUUGAGGGGAAGGAACUGCGCAGAGGAAAGGGAAUCAAAGGGAAAGCUCUUGGAAGGCCAUGAGAGCCUUGAAAGGAGAGCAGCCUCCUGCACACUGGGCAAGGAGGUGGCAGCCUGCAGGUUGGUGACAGCAGUGUUUCGGGCCCCGCCAUCCCCGUGAGCACCCCCAGUGUCAGAUGUCCAAGCCAUGGGGCACAGCAGAGCAGCAGAAGAGCUGAGUGGAGAAGGGUGUUGGAGCGGCUGCAUUGCAAAAUGGCUCAUUUUCCUUUGAGAUUAAUUGGCUGAAUUCUGACGAAACCUGUUAUUAACCGAACACCGCCACCUGCUUAAUUGAGUUCUGUGCAAAGCGCUCCCAGAAACUGGAAGCCUUCCCCCCUCCUCCAGCGCCUGUGUUCAUCUCCAUCCAGGGAAAUUCAUGAGAAUUUGUUAAAAAAAAACACACAAAAAACAUUGGCAAUUCAGAGCCAAAGGCAACAGGCCUCUCAACAUGUCCAAAUACAAACUGUUCUAAUGAAUGUCUGCUGUCAAAUGGCCAGGACAAAAAAAAAAGGAGAAACAGGACAGCAAACGGAGCUACAACUUCAGCAGUCACCUGCUGAAGGAUCCUGUGAAUCAAAGAGGAGUAACCGCCCACCCCUGCUCUGCCUACAGUGAUUCAAGGCAGACAGCAUCAGCCUGAUGCCCCAGGUCUUACAUUUUGUAAUGGAAAGUUAGCUGGAGAGAGAGUGCACCACUUGGUCCUGGAUGGUGGUGUGCGGGCAACGCCUCCAUCAGCAGCAGGAAGAGGAAUGGGAACCAGCCCAUCCUUGGGGUCUCCUGCACCACAGCACAGCCUGGGUCUUCAUACAGCAGAGAACAGCCUGCUAUGUACAUUCAGUGCAUAUUCCCCAUGCAUUUGGCUCGCAGGCUCUGCCCCAGUGGCUCUGGGUCCUCUGCCACCGUGCCAUGGGGCUGUGCAGCACUCAGAGCAACCACAUCAAUAUUCAUCUCUUUGUAAAGAUGACCUGCCCCUGCUGCUCAGAGUCACUUCAGAUUAUUCGUAUCGAUCCAGCACUGUUAAUGAUUAAAUACAAUGUUCUUCAAAGCUUGCAUUUAACAAGAAAGCUUGAUUGGAUUUACUGUUUUGAGGUUGGGUGUGUUGUUUUCCGUUAUUUUGCUUCCCCCCUUGUCUUUGUGGAACAUCGUGUCAUUUUGCAAAUGAAGAAUUACCCUCUUGCCUUUUAUUAAAAGCUUCCUUCUAAAGGAUUCACAUUGCGUUGCUGAAUCAGAUGGAUGCUGUGUUGCAACACCCACUGCCACCUCAGUCCACCCCCCGCCAGCCACCCGCAGUGCAGGGACAUUGGGUGUAGGGGUACCAGCUCUGGGUGCUGCCACCCUACAACAAGUCCAUGCCCACACCCCUCCGGGCUCAGCAAAUCAGCAGUGCUGGGGUCAGCGGUACCCAAAGCCCUCUGUAUUUUUCAGGAUCGUUAGAAAAGAGACGUUGACAUUUGUGUCCCAGCUUUUGUCAGCUGAGACAAACAACCACAACAUCUGAUGCCAGUCCUGGAGAACGUUCCAUGCCUUUAAAGAGAAAAUCAAAAGACAAAAGCACCAAAAGAAGUUUAGCUGAUGUUCUCCAUUUGCAACGCUGAGAGGGCAACCUGAAAACCCCAGCACAACCUACAGUGCAGUUUUACCUUUGUGUUUCCACCGUCCAUCCAAAUGCCAUCCUCCAUUGGCAAUGCACGGAAUUGGAUCUGAAGGAGGAAUAAGCUCCAUGCACCAUGAUGCAAUUGCUGCACACCCCUGGGGAAGUGCUAUGGGAGAGUUUCACUGCAAAAAGAGCUGUCAUUGCAUUUAUUUUUCUGCUUGUCUGAGUGAGAAAACAAGGCUCAAUCACACAUUGUAAGAGAAGAAAAACAAGGAGAGGACAUGGCAGUGAAACCAUCGAGCUAGCACUUGUUAGUAGCAGUUUGAAAGGAAGGGAAAUCAAAGUUCCAGUGAGAAGUCAGUGUCCUGGCAAAGCACAGCCACGAAGCAGCAGCAGAGGACAGCCCACCAGGAGCCCUGUGCUGCCCACUGGGGAGGGUGCUGUGCAGUGCCACUUGGGCUGAGGACAGAGCGCACAGCAGCCCCAGCGCUACCCAUAGCAGCAGCAGAGCUAUGUACCCAUGGGCAUGUGUGUGUUUGUGCCCAACUCCCCACGCCUGAUAGGAGAUGGAUAAAUAGAAGUGACCCAGAGGUCUGGGGUUACAUCUGCUUAGACUCAAUGACUCGAAAUCCAUUUCAGGCUCCUUGGAGGCCCUGUUCAGCGCUGUCAUGCUGGAGCCAGGAUAUUAAGGGCACCUGUCAGGGCUAUUUCAGGAACCAGAGGCCUCCCUCCCCUGCAUGCUGAGCUCACGGCGUAUCAGAUGAGGUCUGCUGGAGCAGUGCACAUGGAAAGUCUGGUUUUCCAGUGAGAAGUCUGGAUGAGAAAGUGACUUUCUGAGCCCCCUUGUCACUGCCGGCUCCAGCUCUGACCAUGACACCAGGAUACAGAUGGGGGCAACCAGGCUUGCUCUUCAUUGAGGGCUAUUUCUACAAAUACCUCAUGUUUUCUCUUUCUAACCGCUGCCACAGGCUUCAGUUCCCCCUCAGCAUGACCUGAGCUGACCUCAGGCACAUCCGCAUGGCCAUUUGGGCUCCAGCACAGCCUGUCCCUGCAGGGCUGUGGUAAUAGAGCCUGCAGCCAGAGCACACUUGGCUUGAUCCAGAACAGCCUGGGGGAGAAGAUAAAUAAGGGAGGGACAGAGUGUUUUAAUACAGGAGACAAAAUAAACAUGUUAAGUGCUCUAUAUGCAAAAGCAGGAGGAAUCCCACCGCCUCAGGAAUGUUCCUGCUGUGACUUGCAUGUGGAACAAACCCUCUUCAAAGGCUUCAUCACUGAAUGUUUCUCUCUGCAAACCCUGCUUUCCAGGGCAGGGAAAGUCUCUGUCACACAGCCAGCUCCUCAUUGAGGAGCUUAGGAGGUAAGUGCUCCUCCUGGCCAUCACAGAACCAAAGGCACUUCAGCCUCAUCCUGUUCUUUCUUUUCUCAGAGGGGAUACGGGAAAAACACUCAGCAGAGCUUUAUAUGUCAUGGAGAGAUGUUCAAAAUCACAAGUAGUUGCAGAUAGAGAGCUUCAGACUGUGGUCAUUCAUGCAGCCAAGACUCAGUUGCUGACUGACAGAGCCCUGCCUUCCAGCAGGCUCAGCCCCACACCUAGCACGGUGUGCUCAGCCUGGUUCCCAGCUCUCCUUACAGACACCUGCAGAUGAGCAGGCAGCCAGAACACCCAGCAGCUGCUCCUGGCUCCUGAUGAGGAGCCCAUUGCUGAAGGGAGAUCCCAUACUGCUCACCAGUUCAGAUCCAGGGCAAGAAAAACUCAUGCUCUUCACUGGUGCCAGCACAGAAUUCAGUUGUUUGGGAUGUACACGAAACAAAAGCAAGCCCUGCCUUCUUAGAGCAGCUUCUCUCUACACCUCCAGCAGUUCUGCCCUAAAGCCUUAUCCUCUGAGCUGGAUUACACAGUACACCCCCUUGAAAGAAACCUCCUCUUAGCACCUUCACUAACGUGCUGACCCACUCAUUAAAAACCCCAGCUGUCCAAUUUCCUGCAUGCUAUACCCACAAACCCAGAGCUACGGGGCAGGCCCAGCUGCAGAGAAUUUAAAGAUCCAUCUGUGCUGAGUGGCUGCUGGCAGGGCUGGUGGGAAGGCAUAAAGGUGUAAAGGGCUCUGGCAGAGCCUGUGCUUGCUUCUGAUGUUGCUUAGCUAGAAUGGUCGGAGCUGUAAGAGAUGGAAGUGCUGCUUCAAGGCUGAGUUCCUCCUGGUGCUUCUGCUCAGAGGGCUCUGCUCUGUCUGCUGUGGAGGAGCCCUCAGUGAGUCCCCAUUGCGGGGACUGAUCACCUGUUUUGAUGUGAUUUGCUUAAUGGGAGCUGAACGAUCCGGAGCUCUGCUCCUGGUGCAGUAAAUGAUUCCCCUGCUUACAAAUCCUGUUGUAUCAGCAGGAGUGCUUUGUAUUGCUAAAAGCUGCAGCACUCACUAACACAGAGGUGUAUCUGCAGCUGAAACUCAUCCCUGUACUUGAGUGGGGAAAUGAUACUUUUCAACACUUUACAUCCAGAGCUGGAAGGGAAUCUCCCACUCAUCCCUCCUAUUGUUU